GGUCUUGGUUCUGUAAGGAUUGCACCUUUCUGAAGGAGUGCUCGAGCUUCGGUGGAAGGGAGGAAGAGAACAGCAAAGGAGAUCAAAAGAGCACAAGCAAGAAGACAGGCCUUCCUCAUUUUUUUUUUUUCAAUAGCUGGAGAGGUAUUAGGUCGAGAUCCGAAGAGCAAACG